rnacentral:rRNA from 1 species
UAGGGAAUCUUCGGCAAUGGGGGGAACCCUGACCGAGCAACGCCGCGUGAGUGAAGAAGGUUUUCGGAUCGUAAAGCUCUGUUGUUAAGGAAGAACGAGUGUGAGAAUGGAAAGUUCAUGCUGUGACGGUACUUAACCAGAAAGGGACGGCUAACUACGUGCCAGCAGCCGCGGUAAUACGUAGGUCCCGAGCGUUGUUCGGAUUUAUUGGGCGUAAAGCGAGCGCAGGCGGUUAGAAAAGUCUGAAGUGAAAGGCAGUGGCUCAACCAUUGUAGGCUUUGGAAACUGUUUAACUUGAGUGCAUAAGGGAGGAGUGGAAUUCCAUGUGUAGCGGUAAAAUACGUAGAUAUAUGGGGGAACACCGGUGGCGAAAGCGACUCUCUGGUCUGUAACUGACGCUGAGGCUCGAAAGCGUGGGGAGCGAACAGG